UACGUAGGGGGCUAGCGUUGUCCGGAAUCAUUGGGCGUAAAGCGCGUGUAGGCGGCCCGGUAAGUCCGCUGUGAAAGUCGGGGGCUCAACCCUCGGAUGCCGGUGGAUACUGUCGUGCUAGAGUGCGGAAGGGGCUACUGGAAUUCUCGGUGUAGCGGUGAAAUGCGUAGAUAUCGAGAGGAACACCUGCGGCGAAGGCGGGUAGCUGGGCCGACACUGACGCUGAUGCGCGAAAGCCAGGGGAGCGAACGGG
rnacentral:rRNA from 1 species